rnacentral:rRNA from 1 species
GACGAACGCUGGCGGCGUGCUUAACACAUGCAAGUCGAACGCGCCUGUCCUCUGGGUUUCCGGGGGGUGGGUGAGUGGCGAACGGGUGAGUAACACGUGAGUAACCUGCCCCCUUCUUCGGGAUAACGGUCUGAAAGGGCUGCUAAUACCGGGUAUUCACUGGUCUCCGCAUGGGGUCUGGUGGAAAGGUUUUUUUCUGGUGGGGGAUGGGCUCGCGGCCUAUCAGCUUGUUGGUGGGGUGAUGGCCCACCAAGGCUUUGACGGGUAGCCGGCCUGAGAGGGUGACCGGUCACAUUGGGACUGAGAUACGGCCCAGACUCCUACGGGAGGCAGCAGUGGGGAAUAUUGCACAAUGGGCGCAAGCCUGAUGCAGCGACGCCGCGUGAGGGAUGGAGGCCUUCGGGUUGUGAACCUCUUUCGCCCGUGGUCAAGCCGCGACGUGGGUCGUGGUGAGGGUAGUGGGUAAAGAAGCGCCGGCUAACUACGU